AACUCGAGAAAUUUUGAUUGAAUCAUGAUACAAAUUACAAAGAAGAAAAAAGAUCGACUAAUCAUUCUAUGAUGAAAAUAGAAUAACUGCCAAUUUUGUGUACAUAACGGGUAUACACUAUACAAUCGAAUCUAAAUUUUUGAUGAAUUUCUAUUCUAAUAGAGGGGUAGGUAUUUGUUGUUGAGAACUCCAAAACCGAAAAGGAAUUAAAAAAAUUUUCUGGUAUGGAAUCAUAGUCUAUAUAAUUAUAAUUACAGUUAUGAUUUAAGAGUAUCCAUUAACUAUAGUCUAAAAGAUAUAGACCAUCAAUCAGUUGAUUCGUUCUAAUUCAUUGAAUUAAUCCGUUAUAAAAAUAGAAAAAUAUCAGAAAAAGAAGGGAACGUUGUUUUUGCAAACAUGAAUUGAAUUUUUUUGAACAAUUUUUCGUAAAAAUUGUAUCUUUAUCCCGGAGCCUCGAAGGAAAGAAAAACCGUUCUUUGCUUUGACUUUGAUGACAAAUUUUCAGUUAAAAUGGAUUGGUCGUACCUAUCCAAUAAUGGAAUAUGGAUUAUGACUGACUCGCUAUUCACUCGGUUUUGGGGUCAUAAUCAUUAUGUAGGAGAGAUGGCCGAGUGGUUCAAGGCGUAGCAUUGGAACUGCUAUGUAGGCUUUUGUUUACCGAGGGUUCGAAUCCCUCUCUUUCCGUACCUUCGCUUAAUUCACCAAUUUUACUAACAACAAGGACUCAAAUAGCAUUGUAUACCAUUAUUCCAACAGCUAGACCCUUCUUUGAUCUAAAGAUAUAGAUUCUCAAUUCCUAAUUGCUGUGACGCGUAAAAUAGAAUACUCAAAAAUAAUCAUAAUCAAAAUACUGGAAAGAAAAGAAUAGACAAGGAAUGAAAAUAGAUCCUUGGUCUAUGAUACAAAAAUGGGGGAAAUCUAGAUCAAACUCGGAUUGAUCUUACUUAACUUACUUAACCUUGGGUUAAUUUACUUCGCCUAAAGGGAAGAAAUUUUUGCGAACCCUUGGUUUAAGUCUGAGGUUUAAGUCUGACGAGAAUAAUAUUCUACGACUAGCAAUUCAUUUAUUUUCAAACCGACCCAUUUACUAUCUAUUAUUUGAUUGACUAAUCCUUUAUAUUGGAAUGGCUGAAGGGUCAAAUGAUUUGGUAAUUCCUCAUGAGGGGAUGAAUCGAGAGAAAUUUGAAUCAGAGCUCUGGAUUUUUGUUCAUCCUUUGCCGUAAUAAUAUCUCGGGGUUUGCAGCGAUAACUCGGUAUAUCUACUAUAUGACCAUUAACUAAAAUAUGUCGAUGGUUAACUAAUUGACGGGCUGCGGGAAUAGUGGAAGCCAUACCCAAUCGAAAAAGGAUGUUAUCCAAACGCAUUUCAAGUAAUUGUAGUAAAACUUGACCUGUUGACCCCUUGGCUUUUCUGGCGAUACGAACGUAUUUAAGUAAUUGUCGUUCUGUAAGACCAUAAUGAAAACGCAAUUUUUGUUUUUCUUCUAGACGAAUACGAUAUUGAGAUUUUUUACCGGAACGCGAUUGGUUUCUAAGAUCACUUCCGGUCCUAGGCUUUUUAUUAGUUAGUCCUGGUAAAGCCCCCAGGCGUCGUAUUUUUUUGAAACGAGGUCCUCGGUAACGCGACAUAAAGACUCCUUAUUCUUAUUUAGUAUUUCGAAUGAAUUCUUAUUUCUAUUUUUUUUAUUGAAUUUUAUUUUACAGAAUAAACCUAAACUAAAACUAAACUGAACUAAAUGAAGCGAAGUUUACUGAAAUAGUGUACUUGUACUAUAAAUACUAUAAAGAAAAGAAGAAUGGGAUGAAUUAGAUAAAUAUACAGAACCCCUUCUAUUAUAUAUAUAUAAUUCUUUGCUGACAUAAUUGGAAGUUCCUAUAAUAAAUUGAUAGCUUUUGGAAAAGGAGGAAGGCGCAAUUUCAAUAUUCUUUGAUUUCAAAGGAACAUUAUCAAUCAUCUAAAAAAUGAAAAAAAAAAAUAGGGAAAAGCCGGCUAUCGGAAUCGAACCGAUGACCAUCGCAUUACAAAUGCGAUGCUCUAACCUCUGAGCUAAGCGGGCCCACAUCACAGAAAUCUUAUAUGCAUAGUAAUUGACUAAACUACUGGAAUUGGAAUCUUAGUUAUUAACUAGUCAAUAUUCUAUUGAAUAUUCUAGAGCAUAAGGAUUAAUAUAGCGAUCUAGAAUUUCGAUUUAUCACAAUUCUAAUACUAAUAUUAUUAAAUAGUGAUUGUAAAUAUUGUUAAUAUUCUUUGAUUUUCAAUUUGAAUUGAAUGGUAAAUAUUCUUUUUUUUUCAUUUCUUUUUUUGGCAUUUGAAAUACUUUUUAUUACAGUUCUAUAUUAUAUUCUAUAUUUGUAUAUUAUAUUCUAUAUUAUAUAUAUCUCUCAUUCUAUAUUUAUUUCAAAUUCUAAUUGUUUAAUGGAAUGGUUAGUUAUAACUAAUGAGACAUUCCUCGGCUUUCAGGGGAAAGUGAAGAUAAAAAACAAGAAUCGAUCGUUCAAGUAUUCCAAAUUGAAUGGCAAAAUGACAGGAAGCGAGACAUAUAGAUCGGGUAUAUAUCCAUCUAUAUUGAAUUGCGGAUUCCGAAAUGAUAAAAUCAUUUUUGAUUGGACAAAAAAAGGGUCUCCUAUAGAAGAUAGUUAAUAAAAUCAAAGAGGAGAAAACGCGUUUUCGAGAUAGGAAUCGGUAUCUAAUGAAUUCAAUGGUUCCAGUAUAAAUGAAAGAAAAAUAAAAAGGAAUGAAAUCACAACGAGAUCCUAAUCUCAAAACAAAAAGAAAGGGGGAUAUGGCGAAAUUGGUAGACGCUACGGACUUAAUUGGAUUGAGCCUUGGUAUGGAAACUUACUAAGUGAUCACUUUCAAAUUCAGAGAAACCCUGGAAUUAACAAAAAUGGGCAAUCCUGAGCCAAAUCCUGUUUUCUGAAAACAAACCAAGGUUCAGAAAAAAAGGAUAGGUGCAGAGACUCAAUGGAAGCUAUUCUAACAAAUGGAGUUAAAUGCGUUCGUAGAGGACUCUUUACAUCGAAACUUCAGAAAGAAAAAGAAUGAAGUGAAGGAUAAACGUAUAUACAUACGUAUUGAAUACUAUAUCAAAUGAUUAAUGACGACCCGAAUCCGUAGUUUUUCUAUAAAAAAUCGAAGAAUUGGUGUGAAUCCAUUCUACAUUGAAGAAAGAAUCGAAUAUUCAUUGAUCAAAUCAUUCACUCCAUAGUCUGAUAGAUCUUUUGAAGAACUGAUUAAUCGGACGAGAAUAAAGAUAGAGUCCCGUUCUACAUGUCAAUACCGGCAACAAUGAAAUUUAUAGUAAAAGGAAAAUCCGUCGACUUUAAAAAUCGUGAGGGUUCAAGUCCCUCUAUCCCCAAAAAGACUAUUUAACUCCCCAACUAUUUAUCCGACCCCCUUUCCUUAGCGGUUCCAAAUUCCUUAUCUUUCUCAUUCACUCUAUUCUUUUAGAAAUGGAUUUUUUUUCUAAGCGUAAAUGGCUUUCUCUUAUCACAAUUUGAUAUCUAUGAUACACAUAGAAAUGAACAUCUUUGAGCAAGGAAUCCCUAGUUGAAUGAUUCCCGAUCAAUACAAUAUCAUUACUCAUACUGAAACUUACAAAGUCAUCUUUUUGAAGAUCGAAGAAAUCCCCCGGCUUUGAUAAAAUUUUUUAAUCGACUU
rnacentral:lncRNA from 1 species